AACGAACGCUGGCGGCGUGCUUAACACAUGCAAGUCGAACGUGAAAGGCUUCGGCCGAGUAAAGUGGCGCACGGGUGAGUAACGCGUGGGUAAUCUGCCCUUGGGCGGGGGAUAACCUCUCGAAAGGGGGGCUAAUACCGCAUGAGACCACGGCUUCUCGGGGCUGUGGGAAAAGGUGGGUCGCAAGGCCUGCCACCUGAGGAUGAGCCCGCGUACCAUUAGGUUGUUGGUGGGGUAAUGGCCUACCAAGCCGAAGAUGGUUAGCUGGUCUGAGAGGACGAUCAGCCACACUGGGACUGAGACACGGCCCAGACUCCUACGGGAGGCAGCAGUGGGGAAUAUUGGACAAUGGGCGCAAGCCUGAUCCAGCAAUGCCGCGUGUGUGAAGAAGGCCUGCGGGUUGUAAAGCACUUUCAGUGGGGAAGAACAGAUUCGGGUCAAUACCCCGGAGCCCUGACGUUACCCACAGAAGAAGCACCGGCUAACUCCGUGCCAGCAGCCGCGGUAAAGUG
rnacentral:rRNA from 1 species